GUGGUGCCUGAGGACCGUGCGUGGGGCAGCCCGCUGCCUAAUGGGAGUGUGAAUGGUAUGGUAGGUCUUGUGGCGCAUCGCCUGGCCCACGUCGCUCUCAAUGAACUCACUAUCACAGAGCUGCGGACGACUGUGGUGGACUUCACGCAGCCGUAUGUGCAGGAGGGAACAGCACUCAUCUCUCGUGCACCUAAAGAGCAGGAGAAGUUAUUGGCGGUCUUCUCACCCUUUUCUCUGGCGCUGUGGGCGGUGCUGUUCAUGGUCACUCUACUGAUGGGCAUCCUGAGCUUCCUGUUGAGUCUUGGCCAUGACUGCUGCACCACUGCCGUGCCUCCUCCCUGUACCACCCCUCCG